UUUCCGUAGGUGAACCUGCGGAAGGAUCAUUAUUGUAUAACCGAGGUGCGAGGGCUGUCGCUGACCCGAAAGGUCGUGCACGCCCGAGUGCCCUCACACACAUCCAUCUCACCCCUAUGUGCACCACCGCGUGGGUCCCCCUUUGGCUUGUUCGGAGGGGGGCUUACGUUUUCACACAAACUUUGUAUGCAGUGUAGAAUGUAUUUUUUGUUUUUGCGAUCACGCAAUCAAUACAACUUUCAACAACGGAUCUCUUGGCUCUCGCAUCGAUGAAGAACGCC
rnacentral:misc_RNA from 1 species